CGAAGCUCGCACACUCUCGUCCAGGAUAGACCAAUCCUCUCCGAGGUGGGAAGAAGUAGUGUUCCAUCGAGUUACCAUGAUUGUUGCACUCGCGAACAACGUGCACAUGCUCAUAGGAGCCACCGUCUGCCAAAACGUACUUGCCCAACUGAUAAACUGAUAUCCGUGCAAGAGCACCGGGUCCAUAAUCCCAUAUCCUCACCCAGUAUAUUCUCUUCUUGGAGCAGCCAGUGCUGGAGCUCUCCGGAGCAGCGAGACCCACCCAUAUCUAAGCGCCUAUAUGUAGACUGCCAAAAAACUGAUAAGAUUAUGGGUAUAUCUAGGUGGCGAGCACCUCAGCUGACUAAUCGACGGUGGCCGGGGUAUAUUUUGAGCGACAUUUGAAUGGCACGUUUCCCACUUGGGUUGGGUUCACUGUAGCGCAGAGCGAAAGAUAUAUAUACGUGUAUAUCCAUCCAGCCGUUCGUCACCAUGAUCGACGUAAAUUUCUAUCCAAACUCAACAUCUUCUCGUCACUUUACGGUCCACAAAUUUCGAUAAGAGAUACGGAUAUCGACGACAUCCAGGGGGGAGUUCUUUUAUCACAAAGCUUUAUCACUUCAAAGGCCACAUGCACUGGAGAACGAUAGCUUUACACGACCAUCUUGUAUUUCACAAUUUAAUUAGCGUAUUAAGUCUUAAGUCUUGGGUAUUUGAGAUAGUUUUGUAAAUGAAAUAGUUGGUUUUCUAAAUAUUAAAACAUAAUCACACACACAGCUAUCCAAAUUUAUUGCAGAAUGUAAAAAUAUUCGAAUGCCAGGAUGUUUUCCUAGUUGAAAUAUCUGGGCGAUGGGCAAACCUACCAUUUUUCUGGCGACCAAAUUGUGCUGAAGUGCUGAGUCGUUUUGCACCCGAGGUCCUCUGGCCAAACAAACGGGUAAACAAACAGCGAGCUUUGCGGGCGAAAUCAAAUGUAUGUACAAGACCGCUAUGGAUCACAGAUAUAAUAUAUAUAGACCUCUGUAUAUAUACUAUACAUAUAGAUUAUAGUACACCGAAUCGAAAGGAAAGAGAGACCUUCCACGCGCAAACUGAUCUAUCGGCAAACUGUCGAAGAAUUGUUGAUACCGAUACCACUAACAAAGUCGCCAUACACAUGGGCUAGCCUGACGGACCUUUCCAUGCAUGUUCAUGUAUAUUAUAUAUAUAUGCAUAUAUACGCAAUUACUUAUUCGCAUAGCCAAACCCAUACCGUACCCAUAUCGCACCCAGGCCGGGGUCUUACCAACUUUUAGAUAUCCCUAAAUGCGUUCAUAGCCAGUGCAUUGCACUCUCCAAUAGUUGGCAGUACCACGCUGGCCCAUACGAUCCUCAGAGCUACUCUCUUCGCUCAUUUUUUAUUUAUUUUGUAAUAUUUUUUUUUUUUUGUUUGGUUAGAGUUCACAUUGGGCUCUCGCGAGCGAAUAAGCCCGCGGUUUUGCCAUUAGUCGAAGAGAUAAUGUCGAUAACAACAAUCUUAUCGCUCAGCAUUGAACGGACUUCACAUACGAACACAUGAACACAUAUCCGUCGGGGCUUACGGACAAGCCUAUCUGAAAUCGUGCAACUUCCACCUUGACUCACUCAUCCCAAAAGCGAAUGUUCCAUGACCGAUGAAACUCAACAUUAGUCAAAGCUUUCAUUUCUGAGGAGAUAUUAAAAAAACUACCCAACAAGAGGCAUUCGUGGAGAAUCAAGAUCUUAAGCAUAAGCUAGCAAUGUAGGAUAAACCAACGUGGCGGAUGAGUAAUAUUUGAAACAUAUCUAAUGUUUCAAGCAUACUCCAUAUUUUCCCAAUUAAUUCCUAUUUCCAAUGGAGUCAUAAGUUUUAAGUUUUUAUUUUUUUUUUUAAUGAACUGUUGAUUUUCAUAAGAAUUCCAAUAAAAUGAAGAAUGCAAA